rnacentral:rRNA from 1 species
AUACGGAGGUUGCAAGCGUUAUUCGGAAUCACUUGGCGUAAAGGACGCGUAGGCGGGUUGGCAAGUCAGAUGUGAAAUCCUACAGCUUAACUGUAGAACUGCAUUUGAAACUGCUAACCUAGAGUAUGGGAGGGGGAGAUGGAAUUAGUGGUGUAGGGGUAAAAUCCGUAGAUAUCACUAGGAAUACCGAAAGCGAAGGCGAUCUCCUGGAACAUAACUGACGCUAAGGCGUGAAAGCGUGGGGAGCAAACAGGAUUAGAUACCCUAGUAGUCC